UACGAAGGGUGCAAGCGUUAAUCGGAAUUACUGGGCGUAAAGGGUGCGUAGGCGGUUGUUUAAGUCUGUCGUGAAAUCCCCGGGCUCAACCUGGGAAUGGCAAUGGAUACUGGCUAGCUAGAGUGUGUCAGAGGAUGGUGGAAUUCCCGGUGUAGCGGUGAAAUGCGUAGAGAUCGGGAGGAACAUCAGUGGCGAAGGCGGCCAUCUGGGACAACACUGACGCUGAAGCACGAAAGCGUGGGGAGCAAACAGG
rnacentral:rRNA from 1 species